rnacentral:rRNA from 1 species
AUUGAACGCUGGCGGCAUGCUUUACACAUGCAAGUCGAACGGUAACAGGGAGCUUGCUCCGCUGACGAGUGGCGAACGGGUGAGUAAUGCGUCGGAACGUGCCGAGUAGUGGGGGAUAACGCAUCGAAAGGUGUGCUAAUACCGCAUACGUACUGAGGUAGAAAGUGGGGGACCUUCGGGCCUCACGCUAUUCGAGCGGCCGACGUCUGAUUAGCUAGUUGGUGAGGUAAAGGCUCACCAAGGCGACGAUCAGUAGCGGGUCUGAGAGGAUGAUCCGCACCACUGGGACUGAGACACGGCCCAGACUCCUACGGGAGGCAGCAGUGGGGAAUUUUGGACAAUGGGCGCAAGCCUGAUCCAGCCAUGCCGCGUGUCUGAAGAAGGCCUUCGGGUUGUAAAGGACUUUUGUCCGGGAGCAAAUGCCUGGUGUUAAUAGCAUCGGGAGCUGAGAGUACCGGAAGAAUAGCACCGGCUAACUACGUGCCAGCAGCCGCAGUAAUAC